GAUACCCUAUAUUUGGUCUAUAUAGCAAGAGCAUAUCUCAGUUCUGAAAGGGAGAAACAUGGCGAAACUAAAUAUUCUUCUGGCGUUGGUGGUCCUCUGUUUGGUGGGUUUCGGCGACUGUGCAGAAUCUAAUAGUGCGGGAACCAGGUGGAGACAUUGGCCUAUUAACGAAGGCGGUCCAAGGUAUUAGACUAAUAUACCCGAUCUGCUAUCCAACAAUCAUAGCUACAGACAAUGCUCUUUGGGGAAUGCAGAGAAAUGCAAGAUAUGGUACCCUAGCCUGUAUCUUGUAUUGCGAAUAAGGAUUCUAAUCGCGGUUACUCAAAAAAAAAAUAUUCUUAA
rnacentral:lncRNA from 1 species